ACGGGAGGCAGCAGUGAGGAAUAUUGGUCAAUGGACGGAAGUCUGAACCAGCCAAGUCGCGUGCGGGAGGAAGGCCCUACGGGUCGUAAACCGCUUUUGUACGGGGAUAAAGUCACCCACGUGUGGGUGUUUGUAGGUACCGUAAGAAUAAGGAUCGGCUAACUCCGUGCCAGCAGCCGCGGUAAUACGGAGGAUCCGAGCGUUAUCCGGAUUUAUUGGGUUUAAAGGGUGCGCAGGCGGUUUUUUAAGUCAGUGGUUAAAUCGUGAGGCCCAACCUCAUCACGCCAUUGAUACUGGAAGACUUGAUUGCGGUUGAGGUUGGCGGAAUUCGCCGUGUAGCGGUGAAAUGCAUAGAUAUGGCGAAGAACUCCGAUUGCGUAGGCAGCUGACCAGGCCGUAAAUGACGCUCAUGCACGAAAGUGCGGGGAUCGAACAGGAUUAGAUACCCUGGUA
rnacentral:rRNA from 1 species